UACGGAGGGGGCUAGCGUUGUUCGGAAUUACUGGGCGUAAAGCGCACGUAGGCGGCUUUGCAAGUUAGAGGUGAAAGCCCGGGGCUCAACUCCGGAAUUGCCUUUAAGACUGCAUCGCUAGAAUUGUGGAGAGGUAAGUGGAAUUCCGAGUGUAGAGGUGAAAUUCGUAGAUAUUCGGAAGAACACCAGUGGCGAAGGCGACUUACUGGACACAUAUUGACGCUGAGGUGCGAAAGCGUGGGGAGCAAACGGG
rnacentral:rRNA from 1 species